rnacentral:rRNA from 1 species
GACGAACGCUGGCGGCGUGCUUAACACAUGCAAGUCGAACGAUGAACCCGGAGCUUGCUCCGGUGGAUUAGUGGCGAACGGGUGAGUAACACGUGAGUAACCUGCCCUUGACUCUGGGAUAACUGCGGGAAACUGUAGCUAAUACCGGAUACGACACCUUGGGGCAUCACAGGGUGUGGAAAGAAUUUCGGUCAAGGAUGAGCUCGCGGCCUAUCAGCUAGUUGGUGAGUGAAUGGCUCACUAGGGCGACGACGGGUAGCCGGCCUGAGAGGGUGACCGGCCACACUGGAACUGAGACACGGUCCAGACUCCUACGGGAGGCAGCAGGGGGGAAUAUUGCACAAUGGGCGAAAGCCUGAUGCAGCAACGCCGCGUGAGGGAUGAAGGCCUUCGGGUUGUAAACCUCUUUUAGCAGGGAAGAAGCGAAAGUGACGGUACCUGCAGAAAAAGCACCGGCUAACUACGUGCAGCAGCCGCCGCCGUAA